AUGUUCGGGAUCAAGGGUCUUGCGCCUAAACUGGACCCUGAGGAGAUGACACGGGAGAUGCGCGGGGAUGUGGUCUCCUCCAUACAGAACUUUCUCAUCUACGUGGCCCUGCUGCGAGUCACUCCAUUUAUCUUAAAGACAUUGGACAGCAUAUGAAGACUUGGGUGUCAACCGUGACUGCAUGAUAUGAAGAACCUGACUACAGUUUGUCCUCCUGUCUGCAAAUGAAUAGGCCCAGAAAGGUGUAAGAGACUCUGAUUGAAUGAAUAGACAUAAAAAAUCUUCUUGUUCAGAACAAGU